UACGGAGGGUGCGAGCGUUAAUCGGAAUUACUGGGCGUAAAGCGUGCGCAGGCGGUUUUUUAAGCCAGAUGUGAAAUCCCCGGGCUCAACCUGGGAACUGCAUUUGGAACUGGAAGACUAGAGUGUAGCAGAGGGGGGUAGAAUUCCACGUGUAGCAGUGAAAUGCGUAGAUAUGUGGAGGAAUACCGAUGGCGAAGGCAGCCCCCUGGGCUAACACUGACGCUCAUGCACGAAAGCGUGGGGAGCAAACAGG
rnacentral:rRNA from 1 species